GGCCCGUUGGUCAAGUGGUUAAGACACCGCCCUUUCACGGCGGUAUCACGGGUUCGAAUCCCGUACGGGUCA
rfam:Carnobacterium sp. CP1, complete genome.